GUGGUGGCUCAUGCCUGUAAUCCCAGCACUUUGGGAAUUCAAGACAGGCAGAUCACGAGGUCAGGAGGUCAAGACCAUCCUGGCUGACACUGUGAAACCCCAACACUAUUAAAACCGUAAAAAAGGGCCAGGCGCGGUGGCUCACGCCUGUAAUCCCAGCACUUUGGGAGGCCGAGGCGUGUGGAUCACGAGGUCAGGCGAUUGAGACCAAUUCGGCCAACAUGGGGAAACCCCAUCUCUACUAAAAA